UAUGCUGGAACAGACUGGGUGUAGAUGGCCUCCUGGUGGAACAGACCAGGUGUAGAUGGCCUCUUGGUUGAUCAGACCAGGUGUAGAUGGCCUCAUGGUGGAACAGACCAGGUGUAGAUGGCCUCUUGGAGGAACAGAACAGGUGUAGAUGGCCUCCUGGUGGAACAGACCAGGUGUAGAUGGCCUCUUGGUUGAUCAGACCAGGUGUAGAUGGCCUCAUGGUGGAACAGACCAGUUGUAGUUGGCCUCUUGGUGGAACAGACCAGGUGUAGUUGGCCUCUUAGUGGAACAGACCAGGUGUACAUGGCUUCAUGGUGGAGGAGACCAGGUGUAGAUGGCCUCUUGGUGGAAUAGACCAGGUGUACAUGGCUUUAUGGUGGAACAGACCAGGUGUAGUUGGCCUCUUAGUGGAACAGACCAGGUGUACAUGGCUUCAUGGUGGAGGAGACCAGGUGUAGAUGGCCUCUUGGUGGAAUAGACCAGGUGUACAUGGCUUUAUGGUGGAACAGACCAGGUGUAGUUGGCCUCUUAGUGGAACAGACCAGGUGUACAUGGCUUCAUGGUGGAGGAGACCAGGUGUAGAUGGCCUCUUGGUGGAAUAGACCAGGUGUACAUGGCUUUAUGGUGGAACAGACCAGGUGUAGUUGGCCUCUUAGUGGAACAGACCAGGUGUACAUGGCUUCAUGGUGGAGGAGACCAGGUGUAGAUGGCCUCUUGGUGGAAUAGACCAGGUGUACAUGGCUUUAUGGUGGAACAGACCAGGUGUAGUUGGCCUCUUAGUGGAACAGACCAGGUGUACAUGGCUUCAUGGUGGAGGAGACCAGGUGUAGAUGGCCUCUUGGUGGAAUAGACCAGGUGUACAUGGCUUUAUGGUGGAACAGACCAGGUGUAGUUGGCCUCUUAGUGGAACAGACCAGGUGUACAUGGCUUCAUGGUGGAGGAGACCAGGUGUAGAUGGCCUCUUGGUGGAAUAGACCAGGUGUACAUGGCUUUAUGGUGGAACAGACCAGGUGUAGUUGGCCUCUUAGUGGAACAGACCAGGUGUACAUGGCUUCAUGGUGGAGGAGACCAGGUGUAGAUGGCCUCUUGGUGGAAUAGACCAGGUGUACAUGGCUUUAUGGUGGAACAGACCAGGUGUAGUUGGCCUCUUAGUGGAACAGACCAGGUGUACAUGGCUUCAUGGUGGAGGAGACCAGGUGUAGAUGGCCUCUUGGUGGAAUAGACCAGGUGUACAUGGCUUUAUGGUGGAACAGACCAGGUGUAGUUGGCCUCUUAGUGGAACAGACCAGGUGUACAUGGCUUCAUGGUGGAGGAGACCAGGUGUAGAUGGCCUCUUGGUGGAAUAGACCAGGUGUACAUGGCUUUAUGGUGGAACAGACCAGGUGUAGUUGGCCUCUUAGUGGAACAGACCAGGUGUACAUGGCUUCAUGGUGGAAGAGACCAGGUGUAGUUGGCCUCUUGGUAGAACAGACCAGGUGUAGAUGGUCUCAUGAAGGGACAGACUGGGUGUAAAUGCCAGCAGUCAAAACAAGGUACUCUAGAGGGUCCCCUAGGUGAGCAGGCCAGGCAUUGAGCAUUCUGAGCCGAUUAAUUUCUCUCUGCCAGCCUUCAAUAUUUCAGUAUCUCAAUGGUCUGCUGGCACGCGCUCUUCGCAUGGUUCUCCGCCACGUCGUGCUCAUGGUGGCCCGUUCUGCUGUCUCCAGUGACGUAACGUCAUCUACGUGUGUAUACCUGGUGGUCUUCCAGCCUUGUGUGUGUGCGUGUGUGUUCUGACAUGUGAGCCUUGCGCAUCUCCUUCCCAUUGAUGGAAGGGUGGCCAGGGUUGGCUGUGCCCCAGUCAUGCCCAGCCCUGCCCAUCUUCUCUGUGAGAAUGUAACCAGCCACGUGGUAGCAGUACGUGGUGUGUGGUAUUUUUCUGUUCUGUAUUCGGGGGGGGGAUCGGGGGUUGGGAGUUCACUUGCAGGAAUGUGGGAACUGGUCUAUGCAUGGGGGUUUCCGGGCUCUUGUGUUUGAGAUUCUAUUAUUAAAUAUAGUUUUCUGG